rnacentral:rRNA from 1 species
CGGAUUGUAGUCUGCAACCCGACUACAUGAAGCUGGAAUCGCUAGUAAUCGCGAAUCAGAAUGUCGCGGUGAAUACGUUCCCGGGUCUUGUACACACCGCCCGUCACACCAUGGGAGUCGGAAAUGCCCGAAGUCUGUGACCGAACCGAGAGGGAGGAGCAGCCGAAGGCAGGUCGGAUGACUGGGGUGAAGUCGUAACAAGGUAAC